UACGUAGGUGGCUAGCGUUGUCCGGAUUUACUGGGCGUAAAGAGCGCGCAGGCGGUCGUUCAAGUCGAGUGUGAAAGCCCCCGGCUCAACUGGGGAGGGUCACUCGAUACUGAUCGACUCGAAGGCAGGAGAGGGAAGCGGAAUUCCCGGUGUAGUGGUGAAAUGCGUAGAUAUCGGGAGGAACACCAGUGGCGAAGGCGGCUUGCCAGAACGCGCCGUCGACGGUGA
rnacentral:rRNA from 1 species